UCUCAUCUCUCAUAUCUUGAAUAAAUUUUCUGGUUUUGAUGUAUUGGUUUUCAACUUUCUCUUGUAUCUCAUUGAGUUUCUUUGCAACCCAUAUCUUGAAUUCUUUAUCUGUUAUUUCAGAAUUUUCAUUCCUGUUAGGAUCUAUUGCUAGAGAGCUAUUGUGAUCCUUUGAAGGUGUCAAAACACUCUUUUUGUACUGCUGGAGAUCUUGUACUGAUGCCUUCUCAUGUGAAAGAAUUGUUGCUCCUUGUUUUUGAAUUUGCUAUCACUUGCAUGAGACUUUUAAAUGUUUCAUUCUUUUUUUCCUUGAGGGUAUGACUGUGGUGUAUGUUGCAUAUGAUCGUUUGGCUUCAUUUCUGGUUGCUUUCAGAGGGCCAAGGCUCUGUAUGAGUUCCUUCGUUGUGGAUAGAAUUUCUGUGGUGGUUUACUCAAAUGUUGCUUAUUGUUCAAGUGCUUUUAGAAAGCAUCCAUGUUAAAUAAGUAUAACUGGGGAUGUUAGUAGCACUUUUAUAACAUAAUCACCUAUAUGUAGAAUGAGAAAGUUUCUGGAUUUCUAGCACCUAACAUUAAAUUUCAUCCUUUCUGAAAGUAGGCCAUCUAGGAAACGGUUACUUUUGAAUUCCCUGGCCUUUUAUAUUUUUGAAUGCAAAGGAAAUCUGUUAGUUGUUUGACUCUUUUUCAGUUUGCUGGAGACUUAAAUUGAGCACCCAGUGCCAUUUACUGAUUCUCACUACUUGGAAAGAAAAUUUCCAGAGAAUAAAGACAGAGUAAUUUCCAUGAAUUCUCUGGUAGUUUCUUUACAGAAAAAUCAUAGAAAAUGGAUGCAAUUAUUAUUAUAUCCCCAUUACUAAGUAAUAAUUAUUGACACAUGUUACUUUACGUUAUCCAGCAAUUUCUUUUCCAGUGAGAGAAUUGAAGAACUGAAAACUAUCGCUUUGCCACAUUACUCAGAAUCACAAAACUGGCUUUAAAAUGGUGUUAAAACUACACUCCAAGUUUCCUGACUCCUAAGCUUGUGUUUAGACCAUUUCUUUACUAGGGUGCCUAAUAGAUGGACAAUUGAAAAGGAUCAUUAAUUUUUUUUUUUUUCCAGGACAAUAGGGUGUCAUUUAAAUACCCAGAAAGAAACAACUUGCCCACUGUUAUACUGAUUCCCUGAAAGACUUCAAAAGAUGAAGAGUUUACAGCCAGAGUAUUCAAUAGGCCUUGGGUCAGUGUAGAAUCAGAGUUACCUUUAUGUUUUAAAAUAAAUUUGACUUUAAUUAAAUUUAUAUAUUUGUUUCUUUGUUGUCUGCUUAGAAGACCAGGCAAAUCAUUGUAAGUUUGUGUUCUCCACUCACUUAACCACUUAUCUGUAACAAUUACCUAGCCGGGAAUGCUAGCCCUUCACGCGAUUGGUCUUCCUUGGUUGAGUCGCCGCCCUCGCUGCCACACCGUGGACGCCCCGAGGCAGGUGGUCAACUUCGGGUCUGGUCCCACCAAGCUGCCUCACUCAGUAUUGUUAGAGAUAAAAAAGGAAUUAUUGGACUACAAAGGAGUUGGCAUUAGUGUUCUUGAAAUGAAUCACAGGUCAUCAGAUUUUGCCAAGAUUAUUAACAAUACAGAGAAUCUUGUGCGGGAAUUGCUAGCCGUUCCAGACGACUGUAAGGUGAUUUUUGUGCAAGGAGGUGGGUCCGGCCAGUUCGGUGCUGUCCCCUUAAAACUGAUUGGCUUGAAAGCAGGAAGGUGUGCUGACUAUGUGGUGACAGGAGCUUGGUCACCUAAGGGCUGCAGAAGAAGCCAAGAAGUUUGAGACUAUAAAUAUCGUUCACCCUAAACUUGGGAGUUACACAAAAAUUCCAGAUCCAUGCACCUGGAACCUCAAUCCGGAUGCUGCUUACGUGUAUUACUGAGCAAAUGAGACGGUGCAUGGUGCGGAGUUUAACUUUAUACCAUAUGUCAAGGGAGCAGUACUGGUUUGUGACAUGUCCUCAAACUUCCUGUCCUAGCCAGUGGAUGUUUCCAAGAUUGGUGUGAUUUUUGCAGGUGCUCAGAAGAAUGUUGGUUCAGCUGGGGUCACCGUGGUGAAUGUCUGUGAUGACCUGCUGGGGUUUGCCCUCUGAGAGUGUCCCCCAGUCUUGGAAUACGAGGUGCAGGCUGGAAACAGCUCCUUGUACAACACUCCUCCGUGUUUCAGCAUCUACGUCAUGGUCUUGGUGCUAGAGAGGAUUAAAAACAAUGGAGGUGCUGCAGCCAUGGAGAAGCUUAGCUCCAUCAAAUCUCAAAUGAUUUAUGAGAUUACUGAUAAUUCUCAAGGAUUCUACGUAUGUCCAGUGGAGCCCCAAAGUAGAAGCAAGAUGAAUAUUCCAUCCCUCACUGGCAAUACCAAAGGAGAUGAUGCUUUAGAAAAAACAUUUCUUGAUAAAGCUCUUGAACUCAAUAUGUUGUCCUUGAAAGGGCAUAGGUCUGUGGGACGCAUCCGGGCCUCUCUGUAUAAUGCUGUCACGAUUGAAGAUGCUCAGAAGCUGGCCUCCUUCAUGAAAAAUUUUUUGGAGAUGCAUCAGCUAUGAACACAUCCUAACCAGGAUAUACUCUGUUCUUGAACAUACAAAGUUUAAAGCAACCUGGGGAUGGCUACAAAAAGUUAACAAAGUAUUUUUCUCAAAUGAAUAUGUUUAUUGUAGAUUCUUCUUUUUUGAAAGAACAACAGCAAAAGAUCUACAGCUCUGUAAAGCUGGUGGGACCUAACGUUCACCUUAAUUCUGACUUGAACUGGAAACAUUUUUAAAAAUCUUCUCGUUGCUUUUCUAACAAAUUCUCGCUUAUUUUGCCUUUGUUACUACUUUUUCUAGUUAGAUUCCAAAUUUGCUUGUAGACUUAAUAAUGCAAGUUGCAAUUAAUUAUUUCUGGAGUCAUGGAAACACACAGCAUGGAGGGUAGGUGGGGCCCUCUAGGUGCUGAAUCUAAACAUCUGUGGGGUCUCCUGGGUUCAGCGGCUGUGGAUUCAAGGUCACCAUUGACCAUUGGAGGAGUAGUUUAAGAAUACGGGGCAAAGGGCAAACUGUAUAUCAAUCAUUAUACUGUUAUUACAAGAGAAGUGACAUACUUUAUAUAUGUUUAUAUUAGCAAGGUCUGUUUUUAAUACCAUAUACUUUAUAUUUCUAUAUAUUUAUAUUUCUAAUAAUACAGUUAUCACUGAUACAUGUAGAACUUUUAGAAUUUAUUAAAUCCUUGACCUUCUGCAUUAUAGCAUUCCUUUAGCAACAGUUGCACCCUGUCCCCAGUCUUCCUCUUUCUCUUUUUAAGCUCCUUUAUGACAAAGAUGUAGAAGUUCUUGAUUAAUUUUUACCAUUCUUUCCGUAGGUAGAAGAGAAAGUUGAUUGGUUGGUUGUUUUUCAAUUAUGCCAUUAAACUAAACAUUUCUGUUAAAUUACCUUAUCCUUUGUUCUCUUUACUGUUUUCUUUGUAAUGUUUGAUGAUGAGAGUGAUACUUUGCUGAAAAGUCUUUCCCCUAUUGUUUAUCUAUUGUCAGUAUUUUAUGGUGAAUAUGUGGAGAACAUAAAGGUCCUAAAACAUCUAAAAAAAAUUACCUAGGAUGGAAUAAGAUGGAUAUGACAGCAAUGAAAAAUAAAGCUGCAGUUACAGUUUUGAGUUUUUCUACUUUAAAUUGCAUUAUGUACCUACUAAUGAAGACUAAGAAGUUUAUUUCAAUAUUAAAACUGUCCCCAUAAAUAAUAAAAUAGG